UUCAUGAGACAUGUGGCAACAUGGAUGCAGCUAGAAGCUACUAUCCUAAGCAAACCAACAUAGAAACAGAAAACCAAAUACUGCGUGUUCUCACUUAUAAAUGGGAGCUAAACACUGGAUAGGCAUGAACAUAA